rnacentral:lncRNA from 1 species
GAGCUCCUUCCUGCCAGGCGUGAAGUGCACCCUCCUGGUUACCUGCGACCUGUGCAUAUUGUACUGUGCGGGGCAGCAGAGACAACUGAGAUUUUAACUCGCUGGAAACAAAUUCAGGACCCUUUCUCUAAACGGUCCUGUUCAGAAGCUCGAAUGGAGCCUGGCCUGCUGUGUCCUGCCCUGAAACCCACCUCAUCCUGAGAACACCUCACGACUGCCCACUCCCCCUCCCCUGGUCAGGCUCCCUGCUGCCUUGGAGGGCUUGGCAGAAAGGACACCUGCUUGGACCCAGAGAAAGCCGGCCUCAGACCAGCGGCCUGUCCCCUUGCUGUGGUGCGCGAGGGCCUCGAGCCCAUUGCAGUGCGGGGAGGUUUGGCCCACUCCAGAAGAGGCUUUCACUUCCUUGUAAAAGAGGAACUCAACAAAGGAGCAGGACCAGGGACAUCAGGUUUGAGAAUGCAAGAGGGGAAAAGUGACAUAAUUUCAGAGUAAACCUUCCAUAUCUGGGGUGUCGGCUGGCAGUACCAUGCAGAGCAGCUUCACAAUUCUCUGACUUGGGAACUCCUGGCUGGGCCACCCAGUCUUCUCUUUCUUAACUGAUGGAGCAGCCAGGUGUUUGUGGAUGCUGCUCCACCGGGGCACAGCACAUAGCGUGUCUGAGCAUCCUCUUUGUCACUAACAGCCUCCACUCCUCUGCGUGGGGGGCGACCUUCAGUUGUGCCAUGGAGGAACAGAAGUGGGAGGAAGUUCAGCAGACACUUUCCUGAGUGCCGGCAGUGGGUGGGCCUCAGACCCCUACCUCCAGGCCCGCAGGUAGGUAACGCACCAGGCCUAGUGCUGAGUCUGUGCUGCCCGCCAGCCGCCGGCCACGUGUGAGCGCAGAGCCUCCCUGCCUCUCUGUCCUACAGACAAUGAGUCACUCACCCCUUCCUACAAAAACAUUGACUAGCAAAUUUGUUUUCCUGCUCUCCAAGAGGCUGUUUCACACCUUCUCUCUCUGCAAAGACCACCCACCACCACCACCACCCCGCCUCCCAGCCUGCCUUGAGGACUCUGCUGCUGAUGUCCCUGAGAGAGUGGAAGCAACCAGAUGAG